UAUAUAAGCUAUCAUAUAUCUUCCUUGGAACGGGUGUCGUUGAUUGAUUUCGGAAUAUGCUGAAACGCCAAAGUUAUUGUUUUUGUUAUAGUUUUUGAAAUAUAAAAAAAUUAGGCCAAAAUAAAAGUCAACCUUAUCAAAUUGAGCUUCUUCAUGUUCUCCG
ensembl:ncRNA F27E11.6 ncRNA